UAAAUAGGUAAAAUUCAUAAUACAGGAGCAUUACCAUUCACUAACAGAAUUCGUAGAAAAUCAAAUAUUUAGGUUGUUAGGGGUGUGAUUCAAAUAAUCGGUUAUGUUGUUUCUUCGGCUGACAUCUUCAGUGGAUACUACAUUGACAACAUGGGCGACGUUUUGCAACGACAGGUAUUGACCAGAAUGACGUUCACCCACGCCGUUAACGUAAUAUCCAUUGAAAAUGUCAAUUACAGACAAAACGGCUGGUUCUAACCGUUCAAUUGGGUCGCAACCUAUUAAUAACUGAUUAAGUGUCAAAUAAAAUUCAUAACUGAUGAUACGGUAUAAACAAUAUUAACUUUUAACUUUAACUACCUUACGAUUCUACUAUUCUUUUUAAAAUGUUUCAAAUUAAACAAAUUUGAUUUCUUAAAGAUUAACGAAAAAAGUUAUAGGACAAAGUUGAUCGGAAUACCUAAAUAUGGGGCUAUGCAAAACGCAGCGGCGAUAUUCAAAUGUUUUUUUUUUCGAGUCAAACAGUCCAAAAAAUCCGCAAAUGCUCAUUGCGGUUAAACUGAAGGAUUAAUCGAAAAAUUAGGAAGAAGUUGUUCCGAAUGCCAAAGUAUGUGGCCAUGCACAAAAUCGCAGCGAUAUUCAAAUGUUUUUUUUUUUAGUCAAAUCACUUGAACGAAAUCAAGAAACGUUUUAAUAUCGCCUUUAAUAUCGCCGCAUUAUUUUGAUCAUAUAUGCAGUGUACAAACGAUAAUGAGUUUUUACCUAAAAUUUGCAGCGCCCUGAUGGUAUGUUUUCCAGUUUGUUUUUGAUUAGCAUUAUUAAUUAAGUAGAUAAGCUAACGAUACAAACAAGCUUGAUUGUGUACCAUUGUAUUGUUAGAAUCGAAUUACAACAUAACAACAGCUUCACAUCGGACAGCUUUCAAGUGGGCAUGACAAAAUUAGCAGGCAAAAAUAUACACCAUCCGAUAAUUAGCCGUGGAAGGUAAUAAUUAGCCGCGACGCAGGAAACCCGAAAAUCAGGAAAAAAAUGUAAAAAAGGUUAGGAAAAUCUCACGACAGAUACAACCGGGCACAUAAUUAGGCGUCAAUUAACCGCUGAAAAUGUAAACUACUAAUUUCGGAGUGCGACUGUUUUUACAAAAUAGUGUAAUUUUUCGAUCUUGACAACCCGAUAACCGUUAUAAUAUCCAAUAAGAUUAUAAGCAUCCUAAAUCAUUUGAAUUUUACUGUGAAUAUUUAACAAAUUAGCCGUGAAAGAAAGAAAAAGCCCUGACUCGGGAAACACGGAAACCAGCAUGCAUUGAGUGAUAUUGUAGUAGGCAUUACAAAUAGGGGUUGAAAUUUGCUGUAAAUAUUUAGAAAAUUAACCGUGAAUAAAUAAAAAUAAGCCCCCUCCCGGGAAACCUGACAACCAGGUUACAGGCUAUCUGUAAAUGAAGUCAGCAUACAAAAAACCGUAAAAUCGGUUAGGAAAAUCCUCACUAGUUAGAAUCAGGCUCUUAAUUAGCCGCUAAUUAACCGCUGACGAUGUAGACUACUAAUAAGAGACUUCGGUUUUUACUCAGUAGAUCGGAGUACUACUAAAAAAUAAAUCUAAUUGAAUGAAAAUGAAUUGACAAAUUAUUAGGGCAUUUAAUUAACAUUAUAUUAGCACUUAAUCAUUAGAUACGAUUUGUUCUGCUGACUUUGCUUUGCUACCUUCAUGGACGUAGAAAUCAGAUUCGCUUAUACAGUCACGGAAUUCCCUCCUACGCAACUAUUUCAGAACCACCAUAAAUGGCUAUACUUGGCGAAUAUUGUUGGUUAAUUGUGCUUUUGGGUUAUUAUUAUUAUAUUAUUAUUAUUAUAUUUUGACAUACGGGUUUAAAACUCAUUAUACAUUAUGACAAUAGGCGGCAGUAGCGUUCUAUGAAUUAAAGUUACUCUAAAUUUUAUAAAUAUAUGAAACUAAACAAUAGCUUAGACAAUAUAAAUCAGUUAUAAGCACAUAAAAUAACUAAAUUGCCAUAUAUUUUCAGAUAAGAACUUCUUAAGUUGACCCUAGGUACUGGUAAUAAAAUCUAUAUCCCUUACAAAGGAGUUGGCUGAAUGCAGUGAUAUUAAUAUCGAAAAGUCGUUAGGGCGCAGUCGUCUUGGCGGGGGGGACAUAUAAACUAACGGGAGCAGUGAGAAGAAUUUCAUAAAUUAAGCCUCUCAUAAUACGAAAUGAAAUGUAAGGAUCUGAAUGCUUUUGAACAAAAUUGCUGAUAUGAGACUUAAGUGAGAUUGGAGUUAAAAAUGACAUCAAGGUCAUUUAUUUCAUUGACACGACAAGUGGAGUGUUAUUUAGUUGAUCCCGCUACUGAAUGCCGUAAUCUAUAAGUCGAUACAAACCGAAACAGAAACCGUGAUAAACUUCUCAAGGACUGCAAGAGAAGAAUUCUUAAUAUCGAUCAACUUCUCAUACUCCGACCCAGUUAACAUUGAUGGUGUAGCCUGAUUUGCGAAUGGAUUUUGACUCGAUGGCUCCUCUGGAAAAUAUAUUCAUUCAAUCAUUUUUCAUGAUUUUAACCACAUUUGAGGUAGGCAAAAACCUAUUCGUAACUGUUUUGUUCAACACAUUCAAUCCAGAAGUCAAAUUUGUUUUCUAUCGUUAGAAAGGAUUUUAUAUCUUACUGUAAACGUGGUUGCGGUUCUUCACUAACUAACGGACGUAAAAAUUGAUUUAAUACGUCUAUACGCAUAAUGAUAAUAAAUAAACAAGCAAAAUCACCGAAGAAGCAGGAAUGCACCAAUGAACAACUGUAUCCAAUUUAUUGUAUCUUAUAUUCCUAUCCUAAUUAAAGUUGCCGUAUAAAUGACAUGCUUGUCAGUCUUUCACUGAAUAUCAAAUAUUAAUUAAUUAAAACAAAAGACAAUAACGCCAGCGACUUUGAGUUUGAAGUAAUUUUAAAGUACCUUUAUUGCUUUUUCUUGUUUUAAAACUUACAUUUGACAUUCAGUGAAAGAAUGUAUACGGCAACUUUUCUCAGAAUUGUAUUGUUGUUAAUGUGCAUACAGAAGUAUUCACUCGUAUGAGGUAAAAGUAUGAAGAAGUACACAAAUUCAUAAUUUUAGCAAUCCAUAGAUAUGGUUGCAUAUUUGUAACUACUUUUUAAAUUUCAACAA